UGUUAAGAGGUGUAAGAAGCAUAGGAGAUUUUGAUUUUCAAGGGUUGAGUUUAAUUCUUAAUUUAACAG
rnacentral:tRNA from 1 species